UUCUUACUUUUAUCUAGUAAGUAACGCCUGCUCAAUGAAAUUUUUAAUAGCCGCGGAAAAUUAACCGUGCUAAGGUAGCAUAAUCAUUAGCCUCUUAAUUAGAGGCUCGCAUGAAUGGUGUAACAUUUCAAUUUCUUUAUUUAUUAAAUAUCUUAAACCUAAAUUAAGAAUUAAAAUGUUCUUAUAUAUUAAAUAGACGAUAAGACCCUUUUGAACUUUACUUUUGUUUUACUGGGGCAGUAAAAAAAUAUUUAUCUUUUUUAAUUUAUUUUUAUAAGUGAACCAAUAAAAUUGAUUAUCUGAACAAGUUACCAUAGGGAUAACAGCGUAAUAAUUUUUUAAAGUUCUUAUUUAAAAAAAAGUUUGCGACCUCGAUGUUGAAUUAACAUAUUCUUUUAUAGUGCAAUAAUUUAUAAAGUGGGUCUGUUCGACCCUUAAUACGUUACAU
rnacentral:rRNA from 2 species